AUGUGGCAUUUUUUGGAUUUUGAGAUUCAAACAAGUUUAACUUUGAUCGUAAAUUUUUUCAUAGAUCUUUUAAACAUUUUAAAUUAUCAAUUGUUGUGACUUAUAGUACUUUUUACGUAGUUUAUAAAUAUAUAAAUUUCAUUUCAAAAAAAUUGAAGAUUUCAUGCGCAAAUUUUCGAUCAAACUUAAACUGUUUGACUCUCGAAAAACGAAAAAUGCCACAUAA
rnacentral:pre_miRNA from 1 species